AGCGAACGCUGGCGGCAGGCUUAACACAUGCAAGUCGAGCGCCCCGCCAGGGGAGCGGCAGACGGGUGAGUAACACGUGGGACCGUGCCUUUUGGUUCGGAACAACCCAGGGAAUCUAGCGCUAAUACCGGAACAGCCCUUACGGGUAAAGAUUUAUGGUCAAACGAUCGGCCCGCGUCUGAUUAGCUAGUUGUGGGGGUAAUGGCCCACCAAGGUUACGAUAAGUAGCUCGUCUGAGAGGAUGAUCAGCCACAUUGGGACUGAGACACGGCCCGAACUCCUACGGGAGGGAGCAAUGGGGAAUAUUGGACAAUGGGGGCAACCCUGAUCCAGCCAUGCCGCGUGAGUGAUGAGGGCCUUAGGGUUGUAAAUCUCUUUUAGCAGGGAAGAUAAUGACGGUACCUGCAGAAGAAGCCCCGGCUAACUACGUGCCAGCCGCCGCCGUAA
rnacentral:rRNA from 1 species